AAAAACUUAGGAUAACCAAACCAUGAGCCUUCAAAGCUCAAAAUAGGAGUGCAAGACCCCUAGUUUUUG
rnacentral:tRNA from 1 species